UGAUGUGGAAGAUAGCCCCUCCUUCUUCUCGCAACACAGUUGCUACUAGCAACCUAACGCUGGCCUCAUAGCUGCUCUGUGAAGUGUUGGUCGUCUCAGCUGUAGGGAUGUCAGACAUAGCUAAAGACAAGGCAGCUCGUCUCCUGAAGAAAAGGGGAAGUAUAUCAUCGCUGGGUAGCCAUGAUGUGAAACCAAGAGGCAGCUUCAGCAAAACCAAAGACUCUGUGAGCACAGUAUCUUACAUAGACGAACCGGGCCACCAUGAUGACAUUCAGCGCCCUGCGAUCCUGAUGGAAAACACUUAUCAGACAGGGCCUACAAAACGUUUUCCAGUAGCAUCCGUAAAUAAUAUUUUAAAGGAUGUCCUUACAAGUUAUCUUCAGGAAGAGAAAUAUGAAGCAGAGCUGUGCAGACAAAUGACAAAGACCAUCUCUGAGGUUAUUAAAGCACGAGUAAAAGAUCUGAUGAUCCCCAGGUAUAAGAUUAUUGUGCUGAUUUACAUUGGCCAACUGAAUGACCAAAGCAUGCGUGUUGGAAGCAGAUGCAUCUGGGACCCAGCAAAUGACACUUUUUCCUCCUACUCGUUCAAGAAUAGCUCUCUGUUUGCACUUGCAAAUGUCUAUGGGGUGUACUAUGAAUAACACACGCAAAUUAAUUAUAUCCAAUACUUUUAACAAAUCUUAAGUAUAGCAACUUGCAGGAACACUGAACCAAACUAUAUUCCUUCCCCCGGCAGCUGUGGCCAGCAACUUCCCAGAUACUACAUGGCAGAUGACUGAGUCCCUGGCUUACAGGGUUUUACAGUUCUGCUGGAUAUUUUGCAUUAAGACUAGAACAUGAGCAUCCGCUGAUCUGCUUGUUAAAGGGUAGUUCACUUUUAAUAUAAUGUAGACUAUGACGUUCCAAGACAAUUUGCAUUUCAUCUUCAUUUUUUUGUGGUUGUUAAAUUGUAUAGUUUUUGGUUCAGAAGAUCUACAGUUAGGAAUUUCAGCAACUAUCUGAAUGACAGACUGGAAGAUGAAUAUAAGAGUACCUGAAUAGAAUGAUGAGUAAUAAAUAGUAACAAUAAUAAUACAGUUGUAGCCUCACAAAGCAAUAUAUUUUGAUUACCAGGAUCACUGGAGGCAGAAGGCUAAUUAAAAAGUUGUUAAGAGUAGGUGAUUCUAAAACAUACUAAAAGUUAAUGUAAAGGUGAACUACCCAUUUGAGCUUAACCUUUGACAGUGUUCUUUUUUGUGCAUUUCUGCAUCACCCCUAACCAGCAAUGUGCCCAAUGUACUUACUGAAAUGUUAUUUAUAUGUACUUUUUCUAUGAUGCUGUAGACACUGGUAUUCUAAUAUAAUGUACAGCUGGUAUUUAUUUUCUGUUCUGCAGAUUUUCAUUUUAAAAUUCAAACAGUUACCUAUCUGUUAGGGUCCCAGAGCCAGUAAGACUAAUUGUAGAGUGUUUAGAUAAAAUAAUUGAAAAAAUAUUAUAACUGGAAGAGGUAAUGCAAUAAAGUCUAAAAGUUUGCACCGUCUAGUACACCAUAGCAACCAUUCAGUAUGUAGCAUUAACUGGUAACGUGUUUUAAAGCAGACAUCAAAGUGCUGUGGAUUACUAGACCAUUAGUGCAAAUGUUGCUACAUUAAAUAAUAACAGACUUGGCUCACAGUGAAUCUCAUUUGUAAUUGUUGGGCAUUGCUCCAUUGUAAAUUCCAAGGUAGGGAAAGACAUAAUGCAGAGUAUAACAAAUAAAAAGGAAAAAUGUGA